AAUUAAUUUUGCUCUAAUAGCGAUUUAAUGCAUAAACGCUCGAGAUCUAUUGGAGGGAUUUUUGCAUAAAAAGUUGAAUCUCUCAGUCUUAUUGCACCACUCGUAUCAUAAUCUAUAUGAAAACAAUUGAUUCCACACGCUAAAAUCCGUGAUUUUUUUCAUUCGCAACCAAGAAUUAAAAUAUCUUUAAAACUAGAAACACCAAUUUGCAACCUCAAAGCUUCUGCAAAGCCCAAAAUCUUCAGGAGGCACCCUAGCCUUCCAAAGAUUAUAGAUAAUUGUUAUUUUUAUUUGAAAACAUUUUUAUUGAUAGAGGGAGCUAGCUAUCAAGCUCCAUCUAGCAAAGCGCACAGCUGCCAGAGCAAUUGCAAGAGAGUGGCCAUGGAUUGCAAACUCCCACCUGACAUUUCAUGCACCUGUAGACAUUUGGAGCCACAAGCUCAGGAUGGCAAGACUGGCAGUAUGCAGUGCAUAUCCCAUUGAGCUUUGGGCAGAAAUCCACCUGAUUAUUACAUUUUGGUGGCGGUGGUGGUGCCUGAGCCAUGACAUUAGCCACAAACAUAAAGCACACCAAGAGAGUGGUAGCAAGCUUGAAGAAAGAAGCCAUGAUUUUCGUAAUGAGAAUUCCAAGCAAAACACUUGCAUUUUAUUCUCGAUUAUAGGGUCUUAUCGAUCU
rnacentral:lncRNA from 1 species